UACGAAGGGGGCUAGCGUUGUUCGGAAUUACUGGGCGUAAAGCGCACGUAGGCGGAUUGUUAAGUUAGGGGUGAAAUCCCAGGGCUCAACCCUGGAACUGCCUUUAAUACUGGCAAUCUCGAGUCCGAGAGAGGUGAGUGGAAUUCCGAGUGUAGAGGUGAAAUUCGUAGAUAUUCGCAAGAACACCAGUGGCGAAGGCGGCUCACUGGCCCGAUACUGACGCUGAGGCACGAAAGCGUGGGGAGCAAACAGG
rnacentral:rRNA from 1 species